rnacentral:tRNA from 1 species
GCCCCUGUGGCGGAAUGGUAGACGCGGCAGACUCAAAAUCUGUUGUCCGCAAGGGCGUGUUGGUUCGAGUCCGACCAGGGGCA